UGGGGAAUAUUGCACAAUGGGGGAAACCCUGAUGCAGCCAUGCCGCGUGUGUGAAGAAGGCCUUCGGGUUGUAAAGCACUUUCAGACGUGAGGAAAGGUUAGUAGUUAAUACCUGCUAGCUGUGACGUUAGCGUCAGAAGAAGCACCGGCUAACUCCGUGCCAGCAGCCGCGGUAAUACGGAGGGUGCAAGCGUUAAUCGGAAUUACUGGGCGUAAAGCGCACGCAGGCGGAUUGUUAAGCUAGAGGUGAAAGCCCCGCGCUCAACGUGGGAAUUGCCUUUAGAACUGGCAGUCUAGAGUCUUGGAGAGGGGAGUGGAAUUCCAGGUGUAGCGGUGAAAUGCGUAGAGAU
rnacentral:rRNA from 1 species